CGGCGGACGGGUGAGUAAUGCCUAGGAAUCUGCCUGGUAGUGGGGGACAACGUUUCGAAAGGAACGCUAAUACCGCAUACGUCCUACGGGAGAAAGCAGGGGACCUUCGGGCCUUGCGCUAUCAGAUGAGCCUAGGUCGGAUUAGCUAGUUGGUGAGGUAAUGGCUCACCAAGGCGACGAUCCGUAACUGGUCUGAGAGGAUGAUCAGUCACACUGGAACUGAGACACGGUCCAGACUUCUACGGGAGGCAGCAGCA
rnacentral:rRNA from 1 species